rnacentral:lncRNA from 1 species
CUGUCGCCCAGUCCCAGCCCAGGGCCCAGACAACGGGGCUCCUCAGGGGAUUCCUGUUUGCUCCCCAAUCGUAGGCGCUCCUGCCUGUGGUUAAACGGGGUACAUCCUUUCUUUUGACCCUGAGAAACCUGACCAGCUGGACGGCACGGAUUCCUGACAUUUUUAUGAGCAUUUUUCCUUUCCUUCGCUCCCUCCACCAGGAAUGCCAGACUGCCCCGUCUCCACCUGCUGAUAAUGUUUAAGGCCGUCCCAGUGCCACCCCUACAAGGAGCCUUUCUGCAUGCAGCCCUCCAAGCAGACGUGACCUCCCUCUCCUCUGAACGUGGAACGCUUGGAGCACCUUCCGCGUGGCUCUCGCAUCUGCCCUGUAUGGUGGUUAUGUGUAUAUUCCCCUCUGUAGGCUCCUGGAAACAGGGCUUGUGUCCAGACUUCACUCCCGGAGUCACCCAGUGCUGCGCCUGACACUGGGAGACAUCUGAUAUUUGUAUGGAAUGUAUCUUUGUGCGUCCAGAAUUACCUUGCUUACCUUCCCAGAAUGGCAUGUGGGUUACAUGACCAGCCAGGAGGUCACCACCACCUCCGAGAAUCUGGAAACAGGCAAACAAGAUUUCCCUUGGAGAUCAAGGUUGCCAGAUUCAGCAAAUCAAAAGACAAGCUUCCCAGUUAAUUAGAAUUUCAGAUAAAUAAGGAAUAAUUUUUUAGUGUAAGUAUGUCCCACGCAAGAUUUGGGACAUGCUUAGACUGAAAAAAUAUUCAUUGUUUAUCUGAAAUUCAGAUGUAUUGUAUCUGGGAACCCUACUUGGAGAGCUCAAGUAUCAAACUGACACACAUGGAGUACAAGGAAGAAAUGUCAUCACCCUAAGAGGUCAGCACGGGUCCUUCAGCAAGACAGGAUUGUCAUUGGAGGAUAUAAGAAAAGUAUAUUUACAAAAACACUUUGAACCGGGGCUGGCCCCAUGGCCGAGUGGUUAAGUUCGCACGCUCCGCUGCAGG